AUUGAACGCUGGCGGCAGGCCUAACACAUGCAAGUCGAGCGAGCGGCGGACGGGUGAGUAAUGUAUGGGGAUCUGCCCGAUAGAGGGGGAUAACUACUGGAAACGGUAGCUAAUACCGCAUACUAUCAGAUGAGCCUAGGUCGGAUUAGCUAGUAGGUGGGGUAAAGGCUCACCUAGGCGACGAUCUCUAGCUGGUCUGAGAGGAUGAUCAGCCACACUGGGACUGAGACACGGCCCAGACUCCUACGGGAGGCAGCAGUGGGGAAUAUUGCACAAUGGGCGCAAGCCUGAUGCAGCCAUGCCGCGUGUAUGAAGAAGGCCUUAGGGUUGUAAAGUACUUUCAGCGGGGAGGCGUUACCCGCAGAAGAAGCACCGGCUAACUCCGUGCCAGCAGCCGCGGUAAUUC
rnacentral:rRNA from 1 species